UACAGAGGGGGCAAGCGUUGUUCGGAAUUACUGGGCGUAAAGGGCGCGUAGGCGGCCUGCUAAGUCGAACGUGAAAUCCCUGGGCUCAACCCAGGACUGCGUCCGAUACUGGUUGGCUUGAAUCCGGGAGAGGGAUGUGGAAUUCCAGGUGUAGCGGUGAAAUGCGUAGAUAUCUGGAGGAACACCGGUGGCGAAGGCGACAUCCUGGACCGGCAUUGACGCUGAGGCGCGAAAGCCAGGGGAGCAAA
rnacentral:rRNA from 1 species